rnacentral:rRNA from 1 species
AUGAACGCUGGCGGCGUGCCUAAUACAUGCAAGUCGCGCGAACGGACGAGAAGCUUGCUUUUCUGAUGUUAGCGGCGGACGGGUGAGUAACACGUGGAUAACCUACCUAUAAGACUGGGAUAACUUCGGGAAACCGGAGCUAAUACCGGAUAAUAUUUUGAACCGCAUGGUUCAAAAGUGAAAGACGGUCUUGCUGUCACUUAUAGAUGGAUCCGCGCUGCAUUAGCUAGUUGGUAAGGUAACGGCUUACCAACGCAACGAUGCAUAGCCGACCUGAGAGGGUGAUCGGCCACACUGGAACUGAGACACGGUCCAGACUCCUACGGGAGGCAGCAGUAGGGAAUCUUCCGCAAUGGGCGAAAGCCUGACGGAGCAACGCCGCGUGAGUGAUGAAGGUCUUCGGAUCGUAAAACUCUGUUAUUAGGGAAGAACAUAUGUGUAAGUAACUGUGCACAUCUUGACGGUACCUAAUCAGAAAGCCACGGCUAACUACGUG